rnacentral:rRNA from 1 species
GGUUAUUUCGUUCGGACUAGUUUUGCAAGGUGCUGCAUGGUUGUCGUCAGCUCGUGCCGUGAGGUGUCGGGUUAAGUCCCAUAACGAGCGCAACCCCUAUUGUUAGUUGCCAUCAGGUCAUGCUGGGGACUCUAACAAAACUGCCCGCGUAAGCGUGGAGGAAGGUGGGGAUGACGUCAAAUCAGCACGGCCCUUACGUCCAGGGCUACACACGUGCUACAAUGGCCGGUACAGAGGGCAGCCACUUGGUGACAAGGAGCAAAUCUCAAAAGCCGGUCUCAGUUCGGAUCGGAGUCUGCAACUCGACUCCGUGAAGUUGGAUUCGCUAGUAAUCGUAGAUCAGCAAUGCUACGGUGAAUACGUUCCCGGGCCUU